GCCAAACAGCUAGCUUAAUCAUCUAAUCUUAAAUAAAUAAUAUUAAUAACAAAACAUGGCUCAACACCAUAAACUAAACCAUUUUUUUACCUAGUAUGGGAGACAGAAAGGUUCAACAUAAAGCUAUAAAAAAAGUACCGCAAGGGAAAGCUGAAAGAGAAAUGAAACAACUCAUAUAAGCACUAAAAAACAAAGAUCAAACCUUGUACCUUUUGCAUCAUGAUUUAGCCAGCACUCCCAAGCAAAGAGACCUUUAGUUUGGAACCCCGAAACCAAGUGAGCUACCCCGAGACCGCCUAUUAACUUAGGGCUAACCCGUCUCUGUAGCAAAAGAGUGGGGAGAACUCCGGGUAGAAGUGACAGACCUACCGAACUUGGUGAUAGCUGGUUGCCUGAAAAAUGGAUAAAAGUUCAGCCUCGUACGCCUCAAGUCAAUAUAUUAAAACAUUAAGACAAUAGAGAAAUAUACGAGAGUUAGUUAAAGGGGGUACAGCCCCUUUAACAAAGGAUACAACCUUUACAGGAGGAUAAAGAUCAUAAUGUACAAAACAUACUGUUUUAGUGGGCCUAAAAGCAGCCAUCUAAACAGAAAGCGUUAAAGCUCAGACAGAGUAUAGUCUAUCAUAUCGAUAAAAAAUCUUAUUCCCCUAACAGUAUCAGGCUACUCCAUGCCCACAUGGAAGAAAUAAUGCUAAAAUGAGUAACAAGAAGACCCGCUCUUCUCCAAGCACAAGUGUAAGCCAGAUCGGACCAACCACUGAAAAUUAACGAACUCAAACAAAGAGAGUAAUGUGAUCAACAAAAAAAUCAAGAAAACCCCACAACCUAUCUACUAUCGUUAACCCCACACUGGAGUGCUAUUUAUUAAAGGAAAGACUAAAAGAAAGGGAAGGAACUCGGCAAACACAAGCCUCGCCUGUUUACCAAAAACAUCGCCUCCUGCAACCUAAACUUAGUAUAGGAGGUCCAGCCUGCCCAGUGACCAUGAGUUUAACGGCCGCGGUAUUUUGACCGUGCAAAGGUAGCGUAAUCACUUGUCUUUUAAAUAGAGACCUGUAUGAACGGCUAGACGAGGGCUUAACUGUCUCCCCCUUCAAGUCAGUGAAAUUGAUCUAUCCGUGCAGAAGCGGGUAUAAAAAUACAAGACGAGAAGACCCUUUGGAGCUUAAGGUACAAAACUCAACCACGUCAAACAACUCAAUAAAAAGCAAAAACUUAGUGAAUAAUGAGACUUUACCUUCGGUUGGGGCGACCACGGAGGAAAAAACAGCCUCCAAGUGGAAUGGGUUGUCAAACCUAAAACUAAGAGAAACAUCUCUAAGUCUCAGAACAUCUGACCAAAAAUGAUCCGAUCAACAAAAUCGAUCAACGAACCAAGUUACCCCAGGGAUAACAGCGCAAUCCUCUCCCAGAGUCCAUAUCGACGAGGGGGUUUACGACCUCGAUGUUGGAUCAGGACAUCCUAAUGGUGCAGACGCUAUUAAGGGUUCGUUUGUUCAACGAUUAAAGUCCUACGUGAUCUGAGUUCAGACCGGAGCAAUCCAGGUCAGUUUCUAUCUGUAACGCCACUUUUCCUAGUACGAAAGGAUCGGAAAGAGGGGGCCUAUACCAAAAGCACGCCCCACCCCUAAUUAAUGAAAACAAAUAAAUUAAACAAAGGGGGGCUAAACCCACCGCCCAAAAUCAGGACAU
rnacentral:rRNA from 1 species